rnacentral:rRNA from 1 species
CAGCCGCCGCGGUAAUACGGAGGGGGCUAGCGUUGUUCGGAAUUACUGGGCGUAAAGCGCACGUAGGCGGCUUGGUAAGUUAGAGGUGAAAGCCCGGAGCUCAACUCCGGAAUUGCCUUUAAGACUGCCGAGCUAGUAGGUGAGAGAGGUAAGUGGAAUUCCGAGUGUAGAGGUGAAAUUCGUAGAUAUUCGGAAGAACACCAGUGGCGAAGGCGGCUCACUGGCUCAUACUGGACGCUGAGGUGCGAAAGCGUGGGGAGCAAACAGGAUUAGAUACCCCCGUAGUCCCUGUCUCUUAUAC